rnacentral:lncRNA from 1 species
GGCAAAUAGGACUGCAGAGGGGCUCAGUGUUGUGUUACAUUUUUGGAUGCAUUAAAGUGAUUUAGGAGCUAUCAUCCCAUUGACUUUUGACUAGACUCAGGAUGUAACUGCCUAAGUCAAUUCAGAAAAUGGGAAUUAGAUUUUGAUGUCAUUUUAAGAUGCUUUUGAAAUUUUUACCCCUAAUCCUGCGGUGAUUAAUUUGUAACCAGGUGAUUCAUUUGUAUCUUUCCUGUCUUCAGAAGCCUGAAUGACACAUUUGAGAUGCACUCUAAAAUCACAGAUCCCAGGCUGUUCACACUGCUUUCAGGAGUUGGUGAUAAAACAGAUUGCUUCAUGCUCUAACGGACAGAGCUCAGAAAUGGUGACAAACACAAAACAAGGAUGUGUAUGAAGCACAGUAACCCUGUCUAUUGAGGGACUGGAACCGGUGAGUUUAUUUCUUUUGCAUUUUUAAUACCUUCAAGGAGGGGAAAAAAAGAACAAACCAACACCUCAGAAAGGCAAACAACACAACAAAAAACCAAAACCCUAACCCAAAACCCUCCACAGGAAAUGAAAAAACAAGAACAUUUUCCACACUAGCUGAUUUCAAUUGUCUGGCACACACACAGCAAGCCUAGGAAGUUCGUAGGUGGAAUAUACCAUUCUACAGAAGGCAUAUACAUUGGACUUUCCUGUGAAGUGCACUGCACGCAUGCAUUAAUGUAGUCUUAAGCAUUUAAGUUUGAUUUUUUAGCCGCUUGUAAUCCACUUAUUCUUUUCACUGCUGCGCAGCCAACCAGAUCCAGAGGGUUCACAUUAGAAUAAUCUCUCAACUCAGAAUGUGCAUGACAUAUAAAGAAAGUCAAGCAUACAGAAUUUAUUUUCACAAGAACAAGGGAUACUAGGAGGGAACAAGCUUGUAGUUCACAAAUCAGAAAGUAUUUAUCUUAUCUGAACUGCAAAACAUAAAAGAAGGGAGGGGUUGGCCAGAAACAGGAAGCAAGGAUCUAGAAAUAUGUUUUUGACAUAGUUAUUCCCCCCCUGAAGAUUAACAACAUAGAAAAAAGCAAGCAAACAAACAAAAAC